AACGAACGCUGGCGGCAUGCCUAACACAUGCAAGUCGAACGAAACCUUCGGGUCUAGUGGCGCACGGGUGCGUAACGCGUGGGAACCUUCCCUUAGGUUCGGAAUAACUCCCCGACAGGGGUGCUAAUACCGGAUAAUGUCUUCGGCCCAAAGAUUUAUCGCCUUUGGAUGGGCCCGCGUUGGAUUAGCUAGUUGGUAGGGUAAAAGCCUACCAAGGCGACGAUCCCUAGCUGGUCUGAGAGGAUGAUCAGCCACACUGGGACUGAGACACGGCCCAGACUCCUACGGGAGGCAGCAGUGGGGAAUAUUGGAAAAUGGGGGAAAGCCUGAUCCAGCAAUGCCGCGUGAGUGAUGAAGGCCUUAGGGUUGUAAAGCUCUUUUACCCGGGAUGAUAAUGACAGUACCGGGAGAAUAAGCGCCGGCUAACUCCGUG
rnacentral:rRNA from 1 species